rnacentral:lncRNA from 1 species
GGUCCUCCAAAAAUAGAGCCCUUUUGCCAUUCUUAGCAACAGGAGAGAGAAACAUGCUGGGGAACUGAAAAAGAUCUUUUGUGCAGCUCAUAGAUGCAGAAAUGCUCAAUUAAAUCACCUUUAUAUUUUAUUCUGUGUUGUUGCUUAAACCUAAUACAACAAAAAGCACUUGAUGUCCAACAAAAAGUCACCCACAACUUCCAGGACUUAAAUGCUCAAACAAGAUGGAACUUUGUGUUGCUGCAGUGCUUUUGUCCUACUUCGCUCCAGCUUUGGGAUCAGCUUUUGGCAGGGAAAUGCCAGCUUCUCAAAUGGAUGAAAUUCAUGGUAAGUGUUGUCUUCUAGUCUAGAAUUAAUUUUACAUUAACUGAACGU